rnacentral:pre_miRNA from 1 species
GUAGUACUCCCUCCGUUCGGAAUUACUUGUCGCAGAAAUGGAUGUAUCUAGAUGUAUUUUAGUUCUAGAUACAUCCAUUUUCGAGACAAGUAAUUCCGAACGGAGGGAGUAUAUC